AUCCAGUGUUUAUUCUUUUCCUUAGGAGAGGGAAAAAGGGGCAAUGUGCAAGUGAAAAUCGAGUCUUGAAAAGGGGCUUCUAUAGGGGUGUUGGUGUAGUUCUCUGAUCAGCAGCACCAGCAUGGAUGUGGGAGCUCGGAGGAAAUACACUCUCAGGCCCCACCCCAGACCUGAAUCUGCAUCGUAGCAAAAUCCCCAGGUGACCCGUAUGCACGUUAAAGGUUUGAGAAGCACAGGGUAGAGCACUUGAGAUUGUGUAGGUUCCAAAUCCACCUGUCAACAGAUGGAAGGAGGGCAUGCAUCCUCCUGGGUUUCCUCAGUGCUUCUGAGGUCACAUGGAGACUGGGAGUCACAGGCAGGAGUGGUCAGUUCAUCUGCUGAGAGGGAGUAGCUUUUUUUAUUUUUAUUUUUUGAGAAAGAGUCUUGCACUCUGUCGCCCAGGCUGGAGUGCAGUGGCAGAAAUGUAAGUCAGAUCAUGUUGCUCCUCUGUUCAAACCCUCCAAAGUCCUUACUAUGACCUCCAAGACCCUACAUGAUCUACCAGCUGGCCACUGUUAUCUCCCUGACUGCAUUUCCUACUGUUCUUUCCCAUAUUUAUUCUACUCCAGCCACACCAUCCUCCAUGCUGUACCUUGUACCUUCCAUGCACACUCUCACCUCAGGGCCUUUGCACUUGCU
rnacentral:lncRNA from 1 species